UGGGUAGCUCAGUCGGUAGAGCAACAGACUGAAAAUCUGUGUGUCGGCGGUUCGAUUCCACCCCC
rnacentral:tRNA from 1 species